AGAGUUUGAUCCUGGCUCAGGAUGAACGCUGGCGGCGUGCUUAACACAUGCAAGUCGAACGAAGCACUUUAAUUGAUUUCUUCGGAAUGAAGUUUUUGUGACUGAGUGGCGGACGGGUGAGUAACGCGUGGGUAACCUGCCUCAUACAGGGGGAUAACAGUUGGAAACGACUGCUAAUACCGCAUAAGCGCACAGGAUUGCAUGAUCCAGUGUGAAAAACUCCGGUGGUAUGAGAUGGACCCGCGUCUGAUUAGCCAGUUGGCGGGGUAACGGCCCCACCAAAGCGACGAUCAGUAGCCGACCUGAGAGGGUGACCGGCCACAUUGGGACUGAGACACGGCCCAAACUCCUACGGGAGGCAGCAGUGGGGAAUAUUGCACAAUGGGGGAAACCCUGAUGCAGCGACGCCGCGUGAGCGAAGAAGUAUUUCGGUACGUAAAGCUCUAUCAGCAGGGAAGAAGAAUGACGGUACCUGACUAAGAAGCACCGGCUAAAUACGUGCCAGCAGCCGCGGUAAUACGUAUGGUGCAAGCGUUAUCCGGAUUUACUGGGUGUAAAGGGAGCGCAGGCGGUACGGCAAGUCUGAUGUGAAAUCCCGGGGCUCAACCCCGGUACUGCAUUGGAAACUGUCGGACUAGAGUGUCGGAGGGGUAAGUGGAAUUCCUAGUGUAGCGGUGAAAUGCGUAGAUAUUAGGAGGAACACCAGUGGCGAAGGCGGCUUACUGGACGAUUACUGACGCUGAGGCUCGAAAGCGUGGGGAGCAAACAGGAUUAGAUACCCUGGUAGUCCACGCCGUAAACGAU
rnacentral:rRNA from 1 species